AACGAACGCUGGCGGCAUGCCUAACACAUGCAAGUCGAACGAGACCUUCGGGUCUAGUGGCGCACGGGUGCGUAACGCGUGGGAAUCUGCCCUUUGCUUCGGAAUAACAGUUAGAAAUGACUGCUAAUACCGGAUGAUGUCUUCGGACCAAAGAUUUAUCGGCAAAGGAUGAGCCCGCGUAGGAUUAGGUAGUUGGUGGGGUAAAGGCCUACCAAGCCGACGAUCCUUAGCUGGUCUGAGAGGAUGAUCAGCCACACUGGGACUGAGACACGGCCCAGACUCCUACGGGAGGCAGCAGUGGGGAAUAUUGGACAAUGGGCGAAAGCCUGAUCCAGCAAUGCCGCGUGAGUGAUGAA
rnacentral:rRNA from 1 species